UAUGAAGAACGUAGCGAAAUGCGAUAAGUAAUGUGAAUUGCAGAAUUCAGUGAAUCAUCGAAUCUUUGAACGCACAUUGCGCCCCUUGGUAUUCCAUGGGGCAUGCCUGUUCGAGCGUCAUUUGUACCUUCAAGCUUUGCUUGGUGUUGGGUGUUUGUCUCGCCUUUGCGUGUAGACUCGCCUUAAAAUAAUUGGCAGCCGGCGUAUUGAUUUCGGAGCGCAGUACAUCUCGCGCUUUGCACUCAUAACGACAGCGUCCAAAAGUACAUUUUACACUCUUGACCUCGGAUCAGGUAGGGAUACCCGCUGAACUUAAGCAUAUCAAUAAGCGGAGGA
rnacentral:misc_RNA from 1 species